rnacentral:rRNA from 1 species
GGCCGCUACUCCCGAACCCCUGCUCAAGUGAGGCCGCUCCCUGAGCCACGUCCCUCCGCCUCGAACUGCCUAGGCCGGUGCCCCGUAGCCAAGGGCCGCUGGCGCUCCGCUUGCCCUCGAGCUCCUCCGUAGGUACCGUCGUCUGCUUGAGACAUCCGUUUGUCUCCCUCCCUCAGCCCACUCUCUCUCCCCUUCAUCUCCUCGUCUUUCUCCCCGUCCCGACAGCUCGUACCCGGACCCCGACCACCAGCUGCCGUUGCGUCGACCAGCGCUCCUGCCCGCGCCCCGCGACGACCGGGCCACCACGAGGCUGCCUCCACCUCCGCCGGCCCAGGACCUACGUCCAUCAACCCCUGCUCCAGCUCGCGUCCUCCCUCUUGCCCCGAGGCCAGCUCGUGAGCAGCAGGAGGGACGAGCUUGCAUCAUCUCCUCCGUUCGUCCCGCAACCCCGAGCCCGCGACGCCCUACUUCCUGCUGCCGCUCGACUUGGUCCGCGCGCUGCCACAAGAGGCCGCUCCCGUACCGGUCCUAGGCCGCCUGGGACUACGCCCGCUCCGACCCCUUGCUGCUCCGGCCUACCUAGGUACCCACCUAGCCCGUCCCUCCGCCGACGCGAGCCGCCUCAGCUCGUCCUCGUGCCCGAACUCCAACGUGCGGAGGUACCCACGAACGCGCCGACGCCCCUGAUCCUCCGCAGCCCCACGCCACCAACCAACCCACCGCGACUUUAACUCCUGCUACCAGCCUCCGUCCUACCCUACCUACCUAACCCCGCGACGCUCCAACCACCUAGACCUAGCUCCCCCCUAGGGCUCCCCUCGCUGGUUCGCCACCGCCGCCCUCC